AUUGAACGCUGGCGGCAGGCCUAACACAUGCAAGUCGAACGGUAACAGGAAGCAGCUUGCUGCUUUGCUGACGAGUGGCGGACGGGUGAGUAAUGUCUGGGAAACUGCCCGAUGGAGGGGGAUAACUACUGGAAACGGUAGCUAAUACCGCAUAACGUCGCAAGACCAAAGAGGGGGACCUUAGGGCCUCCUGCCAUCGGAUGUGCCCAGAUGGGAUUAGCUAGUAGGUGGGGUAACGGCUCACCUAGGCGACGAUCCCUAGCUGGUCUGAGAGGAUGACCAGCCACACUGGAACUGAGACACGGUCCAGACUCCUACGGGAGGCAGCAGUGGGGAAUAUUGCACAAUGGGCGCAAGCCUGAUGCAGCCAUGCCGCGUGUAUGAAGAAGGCCUUCGGGUUGUAAAGUACUUUCAGCGGGGAGGAAGGGAGUAAAGUUAAAACCUUUGCUCAUUGACGUUACCCGCAGAAGAAGCACCGGCUAACUCCGUG
rnacentral:rRNA from 1 species